rfam:Chelativorans sp. BNC1, complete genome.
AGCGGUCUGCGCCUCGCGACAGGAAUUCAAUUCCCCGGGGCCUUAUCGAUCCUCUAGGGAGCUGUCCCUGGCCUUGCCCGUGGGCUUGGCCACACGGCGCCCACCUACUUUGUAGGUUCCCGGGAUCGGUCAUUCCAUCGGUUGUCGUGGAUCGCUG